UACAGAGGUGGCAAGCGUUGUUCGGAAUUACUGGGCGUAAAGGGCGCGUAGGCGGCCUUCUAAGUCAGACGUGAAAUCCCCCGGCUUAACCUGGGAACUGCGUCUGAUACUGGGAGGCUUGAGUAUGGGAGAGGGAUGUAGAAUUCCAGGUGUAGCGGUGAAAUGCGUAGAUAUCUGGAGGAAUACCGGUGGCGAAGGCGGCAUCUUGGACCAUAACUGACGCUGAGGCGCGAAAGCUAGGGGAGCAAACGGG
rnacentral:rRNA from 1 species